GAUGAAGAACUUAGCAAAAUGCGAUAAGUAAUGCGAAUUGCAGAUUUCAGUGAGUCAUCGAAUCUUUGAACGCACAUUGCGCCCGCCAGUAUUCUGGCGGGCAUGCCUGUUCGAGCGUCAUUUCAACCAUCAAGCCCCCGGGCUUGCGUUGGGGCCCUGCGGCUGCCGCAGGCCCCGAAAAGCAGUGGCGGGCUCGCUGUCACACCGAGCGCAGUAGCGAUUCUCGCUCCGGGCGUCGGCGGCGGGCACCGGCCGUGAAACCCCCCCACAUCCACAAGGUUGACCUCGGAUCAGGUAGGAAUACCCGCUGAACUUAAGCAUAUCAAUAAGCGGAGGA
rnacentral:misc_RNA from 1 species